GACGAACGCUGGCGGCGUGCUUAACACAUGCAAGUCGAACGAUGAUGCUGGAGCUUGCUCCAGUUGAUUAGUGGCGAACGGGUGAGUAACACGUGAGCAAUCUGCCCUUGACUCUGGGAUAACUGCGGGGAACUGUAGCUAAUACCGGAUACUUUCACCGGAAGGCAUCUUCUGGUGAUGAAAGAAUUUCGGUCAGGGAUGAGCUCGCGGCCUAUCAGCUUGUUGGUGAGGUAACGGCUCACCAAGGCGACGCCGGGUAGCCGGCCUGAGAGGGUGACCGGCCAAACUGGGACUGAGACACGGCCCAGACUCCUACGGGAGGCAGCAAUGGGGAAUAUUGCACAAUGGGCGCAAGCCUGAUGCAGCAACGCCGCGUGAGGGAUGAAGGCCUUCGGGUUAUAAACCUCUUUUAGCAGGGAAGAAGCGAAAGUGACGGUACCUGCAGAAAAAGCACCGGCUAACUACGUGCCAGCAGCCGCCGUAA
rnacentral:rRNA from 1 species